CAAAAUCAGAAAUCUAGGGUUUCAAGUUUCACUUUGAAUUUCUCUUCCUCCGGUGAAUCUCGCCGCCGCCGCCGCUGCCGCUGCCGCUGCCGCUGCCGCUGCUCGACCGUUCCUCACGCCCUCUGCUCUCACCGUUUCAGGUAUUCCUUCUCUCUUACUCGUUCUCUCUCCCCUUGCCAUCUACGCUUCCUCCCCGAUCUCCCUCCACCCCCUGCUCUCGUUCGCGGCACCGCCGCGAAUUGCCGCUGCGUAUCCUUGCUAUGGUAUCCUCAUCGCUGCUCCUGUCGAAAGCUCGCGGCAGUUCGGCAGUCGCCGAGGAAAUCUCGGCUGCGGCGGGCGAUGAGAGCGUGAUUCGAGAAGAUAAGCUGCGGAGCACAAGGAAUCGUCGGCGACAUACGACUGGACCGAGGAAUGGUAUCCGCUGUACCUCGCGAAGCAAGUAUCGGACGACGCGCCGCUAGGGCUCACCGCGACAUCUGCCGCGAACCGCCGCUGCUCGAGCAGCACCAGCGGUCGUCGCCGCCAGUUGCACCUCCGCCGUGGAAUCGACCGAAUGUCGAACGUUGUCGAUUCGAGGGUGAGAAAUGAGCAAAGAGGUCUGGGCUCGCCCCUGCCUCACCCAGAGUCCAGACGGCCACCGUGAGCCGGCUUCGCCCAGCCAGAGCCAAAUUAGUGUCGGAUUUCUCCAAUUCUCUCUGAUAAACUAGUUGACUAUCUAUAGAGGUCACCACUGCCUAAGAGAGGAGAUGUGGAGCCUGGGGAGAUUCCUACGUUGCUCGAGUU